CAUUAUAUAACUUAAGUUUAAAGUAUUGAUCUCUUAAAUCAUAAAUAAUAUAAAAUAUUUAUAAUGA
rnacentral:tRNA from 1 species